rnacentral:rRNA from 1 species
AUUGAACGCUAGCGGGAUGCCUUACACAUGCAAGUAGAACGGAGUGGCGAACGGGUGAGUAAUGUAUCGGAACGUGCCCAGUAGCGGGGGAUAACUACGCGAAAGCGUAGCUAAUCACGCAUACUAUUGACGCGGCCGAUAUCGGCUUAGCUAGUUGGUGGGGUAACGGCUCACCAAGGCGACGAUGCAUAGCUGGUUUGAGAGGCCGACCGGCCACACGGGGACUGAGACACGGCCCAGACUCCUACGGGAGGCAGCAGUGGGGAAUUUUGGGCAAUGGGGGAAACCCUGACCCAGCCAUGCCGCGUGUGCGAUGAAGGCUUUCGGGUUGUAAAGCACUUUUGUCAGGGAAGCGGUACCUGCAGAAUAAGCACCGGCUAACUACGUGCCAGCCGCCGCGGUAAUUC